CAGUAGCCGCGGUAAUACGUAGGGUGCAAGCGUUAAUCGGAAUUACUGGGCGUAAAGCGUGCGCAGACGGUUCGCUAAGACAGAUGUGAAAUCCCCGGGCUUAACCUGGGAACUGCAUUUGUGACUGGCGGGCUAGAGUAUGGCAGAGGGGGGUAGAAUUCCACGUGUAGCAGUGAAAUGCGUAGAGAUGUGGAGGAAUACCGGUGGCGAAGGCAGCCCCCUGGGCCAAUACUGACGCUCAUGCACGAAAGCGUGGGGAGCAAACAGGAUUAGAGACCCGUGUAGUCCCUGUCUCUUAUAA
rnacentral:rRNA from 1 species